UGAGCACUGAGUCACUUCUGGUGUUUUGGGUGUUUUCUAAUCUUUAACAGAUACACAGCAAGAAGAGAAAGAGCGUGCAACACUGGAUCUUGUUGACUCCCAGCCAACACUACUGUAUGUGGGAGUGUCUCUGUCCAAUGCAGUUAACUUGAAGAGGACAAGUCAUUAAAGGAAUGGCAAUAUUUAAGACAUGCUUGUCCAUCUGUGCCCUUCUCCUGACACUAACUAUUUUGGAAACAAACUUCAUUGAAUC